rnacentral:rRNA from 1 species
AUGCAAGUCGAGCGGAAGAGAGAAGCUUGCUUCUCAAUUCAGCGGCGGACGGGUGAGUAAUGCCUAGGAAUCUGCCUGGUAGUGGGGGACAACGUUUCGAAAGGAACGCUAAUACCGCAUACGUCCUACGGGAGAAAGCAGGGGACCUUCGGGCCUUGCGCUAUCAGAUGAGCCUAGGUCGGAUUAGCUAGUUGGUGGGGUAAUGGCUCACCAAGGCGACGAUCCGUAACUGGUCUGAGAGGAUGAUCAGUCACACUGGAACUGAGACACGGUCCAGACUCCUACGGGAGGCAGCAGUGGGGAAUAUUGGACAAUGGGCGAAAGCCUGAUCCAGCCAUGCCGCGUGUGUGAAGAAGGUCUUCGGAUUGUAAAGCACUUUAAGUUGGGAGGAAGGGCAGUAAAUUAAUACUUUGCUGUUUUGACGUUACCGACAGAAUAAGCACCGGCUAACUCUGUGCCAGCAGCCGCGGUAAUACAGAGGGUGCAAGCGUUAAUCGGAAUUACUGGGCGUAAAGCGCGCGUAGGUGGUUUGUUAAGUUGGAUGUGAAAUCCCCGGGCUCACCCUGGGAACUGCUU